rnacentral:lncRNA from 1 species
UUUCACGCUGCUCAUUUAAGUUUACAAGUCUGUAUAGUCAACCCGAUCCUAUGAAUAAGCCUAUGCAGUUCCUCUAGAAGGGUAUUGUCAAGACCUCUAGAGACGAGAAUAGACGAAGGGAAAGGAAGGAAAUCCUUUCCAGGAUCAAUGAUCUAGAGAGCAAACUAAGUUAUGGGCUACCCCCUCAACUGUCUGAUGGGGGCUAUGCUAGUCUCAUAGCCCUCUAUCUCUACAGUAUCCCGCAAUUUCUGCUCCUUCCCGUCCUUUUCAUUCUUGAUAGCACAGGAAAUAGACUGUUCUUUGUCCUUGGCCGUCCUUUGUCUUCUUUCAAUAAUACCAUAGAUGCUAUUGGUCCCGAUCUUCGAUUCAAUCUAGGAAUGGUUGUUAAAGAGACCCGUGGUAAUCGUCUUUUUUUUUUCUUUAUCUAAGGUCUUAGCUAUGCUACUCACUUUUCUUUUUUCUUUUUCUUGUUCUUGUUGAGAUACCUUAACAUUGUCAUUACACGCUGCUUUCCUUAGGUUAAAGAACCUCCAUGACACAUUCGCAGUGUGUCUAAGAAAACCUCAUCCCCUCUUAACUUUGGCAAAAUAAAUAAAUUAUAUCAAUAGGCAUGAUAUGUCCCCUAAAAUACUAGUAAAUUGUAAAAUAUUAAUAUAAUUGUAUAUUAACCUAGUAUGGAAAUCAAAUAACUGAACAGUUAAUCUAUUCAAUAAGGGCCAGUUUAGCAUUGCUAUGCUGUGAAAAUAAUCGUUGUUAGAUUUGCUGUGAGAGAAAUCAACUGUAAGAGAAAGCAGUUUGGCAUUUGGUAAACUUUUUGUUAAAAGUGUUGUUGAUACUAAUUCCUGCAUAAUCAGAAAAUGAUUCCCGCAUAAUUAUUAAACCUAGCGCCGCUUCGAAACUGAUUCCUGCAUAAUCAGAAAAUGAAAGCAUCUCGUUAGCUGCUUUCCUUAUUUUAAGGAUCCGCC